GAUGAACGCUGGCGGCAUGCCUAAUACAUGCAAGUCGAGCGAGCAGAUCAGGAGCUUGCUCCUCUGACGUUGUCGGCGGACGGGAGAGUAACACGUGGAUAACCUACCUAUACGACUGGGAUAACUUCGGGAAACCGGAGCUACUACCGGAUAAUAUAUUGAACUUGAUGGUGCACUCGUUAAAGUCGGUUUUUCUUACACUUAUAGCUUAAUCCGCGCCGGAUUAGCUAGUUGGUAAGGUAGCGGCUUAGCAACGCAACGAUGCAUACCCGCCCUGAGAGGGUGAUCGGCCACACUGGAACUGAGACACGGUCCAGACUCCUACGGGAGGCAGCAGUAGGGAAUCCUACGCAAGGGGGGAAAGCCUGACGGAGCAACGCCGCGUGAGUGAUGAACGUCUUCGGCUCGGAGAACUCUGUUAUUAGGGAAGGACAAAUGUGUAAGUAACUAUGCACGUCUUGACGGUACCUAAUCAGAAAGCCACGGCUAACUACGUG
rnacentral:rRNA from 1 species